UAGGGAAUCUUCCGCAAUGGACGCAAGUCUGACGGAGCAACGCCGCGUGAGUGAAGAAGGAUUUCGGUUCGUAAAACUCUGUUGUUAGAGAAGAACAGCGCAUAGAGUAACUGUUAUGCGUGUGACGGUAUCUAACCAGAAAGCCACGGCUAACUACGUGCCAGCAGCCGCGGUAAUACGUAGGUGGCAAGCGUUGUCCGGAUUUAUUGGGCGUAAAGCGAGCGCAGGCGGUCAAUUAAGUCUGAUGUGAAAGCCCCCGGCUCAACCGGGGAGGGUCAUUGGAACCUGGUUGACUUGAGUGCAGAAGAGGAGAGUGGAAUUCCAUGUGUAGCGGUGAAAUGCGUAGAUAUAUGGAGGAACACCAGUGGCGAAGGCGACUCUCUGGUCUGUAACUGACGCUGAGGCUCGAAAGCGUGGGUAGCAAACAGG
rnacentral:rRNA from 1 species